rnacentral:rRNA from 2 species
CUGGUGACAAUGGCAAGGAGGUCACACCUGUUCCCAUGCCGAACACAGAAGUUAAGCUCCUUAGCGCCGAUGGUAGUCGGACUAACGUUCCGCUAGAGUAGGACGUUGCCAGGC